rnacentral:piRNA from 1 species
CUCAAGAGCUCUUGAAUUUCCCACUGGUCC